AGGUAGCCUAGUGGUUAGAGAGGCAGGUAGCCUAGUGGUUAGAGGAGGCAGGUAGCCUAGUGGUUAGAGGAGGCAGGUAGCCUAGUGGUUAGAGGAGGCAGGUAGCCUAGUGGUUAGAGGAGGCAGGUAGCCUAGUGGUUAGCGGAGGCAGGUAGCCUAGUGGUUAGCGGAGGCAGGUAGCCUAGUGGUUAGCGGAGGCAGGUAGCCUAGUGGUUAGCGGAGGCAGGUAGCCUAGUGGUUAGCGGAGGCAGGUAGCCUAGUGGUUAGCGGAGGCAGGUAGCCUAGUGGUUAGCGGAGGCAGGUAGCCUAGUGGUUAGAGGCAGGUAGCCUAGUGGUUAGAGGCAGGUAGCCUAGUGGUUAGAGGCAGGUAGCCUAGUGGUUAGAGGCAGGUAGCCGAGUGGU